rnacentral:tRNA from 1 species
GGGGCAGUAGCUCAGCUGGGAGAGCGCCACGUUCGCAACGUGGAGGCCGUCGGUUCGAUCCCGAUCUGCUCCA